rnacentral:rRNA from 1 species
UACAGAGGGGGCAAGCGUUGUUCGGAAUUACUGGGCGUAAAGGGCGCGUAGGCGGCCGCCUAAGUCAGACGUGAAAUCCCUCGGCUCAACCGGGGAACUGCGUCUGAUACUGGGUGGCUUGAAUCCGGGAGAGGGAUGCGGAAUUCCAGGUGUAGCGGUGAAAUGCGUAGAUAUCCGGAGGAACACCGGUGGCGAAGGCGGCAUCCUGGACCGGUAUUGACGCUGAGGCGCGAAAGCCAGGGGAGCAAACGGG